UACGUAGGGGGCAAGCGUUGUCCGGAUUUAUUGGGCGUAAAGAGCGUGUAGGCGGCCAUACAGGUCAGCUGUGAAAACUCGAGGCUCAACCUCGAGACGUCGGUUGAAACCGUAUGGCUAGAGUCCGGAAGAGGAGAGUGGAAUUCCCGGUGUAGCGGUGAAAUGCGCAGAUAUCGGGGAAGAACACCCGUGGCGAAGGCGGCUCUCUGGGGACGGUACUGACGCUGAGACGCGAAAGCGUGGGGAGCGAACAGG
rnacentral:rRNA from 1 species